rnacentral:lncRNA from 1 species
AAAUGAAGGAAGGGAAACUGAAAUUGAGGUGGAGCAAGUUAAUAAUGAUAAUCUACAACAUGAUCAAAUUGAAAAUAGUGAAAUUGAGGCUCAAAAUGAUGAAGAAACUGAUCAAAAUGAAUUUGAUUUUGAGGUUAAUCAACCCUUAAAUGAUUAUCAACUUGCUAGAGAUAGAGAAAGGAGAGAAAUAAGACCAACUGUGAGAUUUGAUGAUGAAAUAUCCCUUCUCACUGUUCAGGGG